CAGAACACUCUUGAAAACUGAUUUUUUUUUUUUAUCUCAGUGCGGUUUCCUGGUUAAGUUCACUGUAAGGAAUAAAGCUGAAGCAAAAGAAAAUGUGGACAGCUGUGCAAUCCAGGUAGUGGACUUUGAUGAGAGGCUGAGGGGCUCAUGGCAAGGGCUCCAUUUCUCGUCCUUGUAGCUGGUUGUUAAUGCUGGAGGUGUGCUGGCUAAAAAGCAGGGGCAACGUACGGUAAUCGAUGAGAGGAGAACUGGACCCAACUGUCACACUUUUGUCUUUUCCGGACUACUCCCUAUAAACAACGAUGGCUGGAUUUACUGCUUCAGUGGAGGUUACAGUUGAAAUCAUCAUGAGGACUUUUAUUAAACAAAUACGAUGCCAGAAGAAGGUGGAGGUUGUAAGGGGUUGAACUACUUCACCAGGGACGUCACUGCUGAGAGCUGAGAAUCCAGAGGAAGAAGACGGCUUAUUCAGAGACCGAGCAGAUUUAUGGCAUACGGUGAUGUGGAUGAACCGAUUUUCAAUUUCCAAGAGCUAACAAGACGUGUGUAGAAAUGUAUCUCGAGUUAGAUCAGCUGACGCCUCAUCCAUCUAGAGUACCUCACC